AUUGAACGCUGGCGGCAUGCUUUACACAUGCAAGUCGAACGGUAACAGGGUGCUUGCACCGCUGACGAGUGGCGAACGGGUGAGUAAUGCGUCGGAACGUGCCGAGUAGUGGGGGAUAACGCAGCGAAAGUUGUGCUAAUACCGCAUACGUACUGAGGUAGAAAGUGGGGGACCUUCGGGCCUCACGCUAUUCGAGCGGCCGACGUCUGAUUAGCUAGUAGGUGAGGUAAAGGCUCACCUAGGCGACGAUCAGUAGCGGGUCUGAGAGGAUGAUCCGCCACACUGGGACUGAGACACGGCCCAGACUCCUACGGGAGGCAGCAGUGGGGAAUUUUGGACAAUGGGCGAAAGCCUGAUCCAUCCAUGCCGUGUGUCUGAAGAAGGCCUUCGGGUUGUAAAGGACUUUUGUCAGGGAGGAAAUCCCUAGUGAUAAUAACACUGGGGGAUGACAGUACCUGAAGAAUAAGCACCGGCUAACUACGUGCCAGCCGCCGCGGUAA
rnacentral:rRNA from 1 species